GUGAGAUCAUGACCUGAGCCAAAAUCAGAUGCUUAACAACUAAGCCACUCAGGCACCCCCUUCCCACCAUUUCUAAGAGCUAUGGGAAGCAGGGAACAAGCAAUGGGAAGUUGGUGUCAAAAUGCAGAAAAACCUCCCAGCAAGCUUCUUGCAACCACCCAGGAUUUAGAGUCUUGCUGGUCGCUCUCUUUUCAAUACCAGAAUUUCACACAUUUCAAUGACUAUUAUGACUUCAAAGAAUCAAAUUUUCAUCAUUGUCCGUCAUCUGCCGGUUGAUUUGUAUAAAGGAGUUCUUCUGCAUGCACUCCAAACAAAAGCCUCCUUACUUUUGUGGUUAUAUAUCAAGUUUAAAAGUUUUGUUUGUGACAGUUGUGUCUUUGGUAAAUUAGGGUAACACUGAAGGAGUGCAGCUGCUCUGCAGGAACCUCCUUUCUGGCACCAUUUCACUUAAAUAAAAACUGAAUAAUUA